UACGUAGGGUGCAAGCGUUGUCCGGAAUUAUUGGGCGUAAAGAGCUCGUAGGCGGUUUGUUGCGUCGGCUGUGAAAUCCCGAGGCUCAACCUCGGGUCUGCAGUCGAUACGAGCAAACUAGAGUGUUGCAGGGGAGACUGGAAUUCCUGGUGUAGCGGUGGAAAUGCGCAGAUAUCAGGAGGAACACCGGUGGCGAAGGCGGUUCUCUGGGCAUUACCUGACGCUGAGGAGCGAAAGUGUGGGGAGCGAGCAGG
rnacentral:rRNA from 1 species